AUCGUCUGCUACAUUACCCAGACACGCAGGAAAAAGAAUGUGACAGAGAGCCCCAGCUUCUCGGCAGGGGACAACCCUCCCGUCCUGUUCAGCAGCGACUUCCGCAUCUCUGGGGCACCAGAGAAGUAUGAGUCCAAAGAGGUUUCUACCCUGGAAUCUCACUGAGCGCCCCAGGAGGUAGGUUCCGGGGGCCUCAGUGUGCCCUCCUCUGGGCCCUCCUUGGGCCCUGGGGUUGGCGUGCAUGUCUGUGUGUCCCUGUCAGGCGUCAAGGUGGUCUCUGGUGAUGUCCGGGCCUGCCCGGCGGUGCUGGCCUUGUCUAGUCUGUCCUGUUGCAGCUCCCUUCUGUCUGUGGCCACCGUCCUGUGUGUCCAAAUUCCUGUGGCUAGGGGGUGGAGGGAGGGGUGGGAAGCGUGGGGGGAACCCACAUGUCACCUGCAGGACCUCCCAGAUUGAGGGCGGACCCAUGCAGGACCCCUGGGGGGGCACGUACCAAACCAGGUAUUUCCAGGAAUUUGGAAAGAUGGGGUCCUGACUAGGUGGUUUUCACCCAAAAAGGUAUUAGGGGUUACAUUGUG
rnacentral:sRNA from 1 species